rnacentral:rRNA from 1 species
UAUNGCACAAUGUGGGAAACCCUGAUGCAGCNACGCCGCGUGAGUGAAGAAGUAUUUCGGGAUGUACAGCUCUAUCAGCAGGGACGAAAAUGACGGUACCUGAGUAAGAAGCCCCGGCUAACUACGUGCCAGCAGCCGCGGUAAUACGUAGGGGGCAAGCGUUAUCCGGAUUUACUGGGUGUAAAGGGAGCGUAGACGGUUAUGCGAGUCUGGAGUGAGAGGCGGGGGCUCAACCCCCGGACUGCUCUGGAAACGGUAGAACUAGAGUGCAGGAGGGGUAAGUGGAAUUCCUAGUGUAGCGGUGAAAUGCGUAGAUAUUAGGAGGAACACCAGUGGCGAAGGCGGCUUACUGGACUGUAACUGACGUUGAGGCUCGAAAGCGUGGGGAGCAAACAGG